rnacentral:rRNA from 2 species
UUUAUUGGAGAGUUUGAUCCUGGCUCAGGAUGAACGCUGGCGGCGUGCCUAAUACAUGCAAGUCGAGCGAAUGGAUUAAGAGCUUGCUCUUAUGAAGUUAGCGGCGGACGGGUGAGUAACACGUGGGUAACCUGCCCAUAAGACUGGGAUAACUCCGGGAAACCGGGGCUAAUACCGGAUAACAUUUUGAACCGCAUGGUUCGAAAUUGAAAGGCGGCUUC